AGCGUGGAUAGGCAUGCAAGUCGAACGGGAUCCGGCGGGUAGCAAUAUUCGCUGGUGAGAGUGGCGGAUUGGGGAGGAACACGUGAGCAACCUGCCCUUGAGUUGGGGAAAACCGUUGGAAACGACGGCUAAUACCGGAUGCGGCGCCCCGUGACAUCGCGGGAGCGCUAAAGGGGGCCGCAAGGCUCCCGCUCGAGGAGGGGCUCGCGCACCAUCAGCUUGUUGACGGGGUAACGGCCCACCAAGGCCUACGGUUAGCUGGUCUGAGAGGAUGACCAGCCCCACUGGGACUGAGAUACUGCCCAGACUCCUACGGGAGGCUGCAGUCGAGGAUCAUUUGCAAUGGGCGAAAGCCUGACAAUGCGACGCUGCGUGGAGGAUGAAGGCCUUCGGGUUGUAAACUCCUGUCAUGGGGGAACAGGCGAGGGGACCCAACACGUCCCUUAGUUGAGUGUACCCCAAGAGGAAUUGGCGGCUAACUCUGUGCCAGCAGCCGCGGUAAUACAGAGGCCAAGAGCGUUGUUCGGAUUUACUGGGCGUAAAGGGCGCGUANGCGGCAUGGCGUGUCGGAUGUGAAAUCUCCGGGCU
rnacentral:rRNA from 1 species